rnacentral:rRNA from 1 species
UACGUAGGGUGCAAGCGUUAAUCGGAAUUACUGGGCGUAAAGAGCUCGUAGGCGGUUUGUCGCGUCGGCUGUGAAAGCCCGGAGCUCAACUCCGGGUCUGCAGUCGAUACGGGCAGACUUGAGUGUUGCAGGGGAGACUGGAAUUCCUGGUGUAGCGGUGAAAUGCGCAGAUAUCAGGAGGAACACCGGUGGCGAAGGCGGGUCUCUGGGCAACAACUGACGCUGAGGAGCGAAAGCGUGGGGAGCGAACAGG